rnacentral:rRNA from 1 species
UCGGGAAUUUUGCCCAAUGGACGAAAGUCUGAGGCAGCAACGCCGCGUGAGGGAUGAAGGCCUUCGGGUUGUAAACCUCUUUUCUCAGGGACGAUGAUGACGGUACCUGAGGAAUAAGCCACGGCAAACUACGUGCCAGCAGCCGCGGUAAUACGUAGGUGGCAAGCGUUGUCCGGAUUUACUGGGCGUAAAGAGCGCGCAGGCGGUCGGUCAAGUCGGAUGUGAAAGCCCCCGGCUCAACUGGGGAGGGUCAUUCGAUACUGAUCGACUCGAAGGCAGGAGAGGGAAGCGGAAUUCCCGGUGUAGUGGUGAAAUGCGUAGAUAUCGGGAGGAACACCAGAGGCGAAGGCGGCUUCCUGGCCUGUUCUUGACGCUGAGGCGCGAAAGCCAGGGGAGCAAACGGG